rnacentral:rRNA from 1 species
GAAAGCCUGACGGAGCAAGACCGCGUGGGGGAUGAAGGCUCUUGGGUUGUAAACCCCUUUUCUCAGGGAAGAAGAACUGACGGUACCUGAGGAAUAAGCAUCGGCUAACUCCGUGCCAGCAGCCGCGGUAAGACGGAGGAUGCAAGCGUUAUCCGGAAUUAUUGGGCGUAAAGCGUUCGUAGGUGGCUGUUCAAGUCUGCCGUUAAAGACCGGGGCUUAACUCCGGAAAAACUGUGGAAACUGAACAGCUAGAGUAUGGUAGGGGUAAGGGGAAUUCCUGGUGUAGCGGUGAAAUGCGUAGAUAUCAGGAAGAACACCGGUGGCGAAG